UAAAAACCCCGACUUCGGAAGGGGUGUAUUUAUUAGAUACAAAACCAAUGCCCUUCGGGGCUCUUUGGUGAUUCAUGAUAACUAUACGAAUCGCACGGCCUUGCGCCGGCGAUGGUUCAUUCAAAUUUCUUCCCUAUCAACUUUCGAUGUUUGGGUAUUGGCCAAACAUGGUUGCAACGGGUAACGGAGGGUUAGGGCUCGACCCCGGAGAAGGAGCCUGAGAAACGGCUACUACAUCCAAGGAAGGCAGCAGGCGCGCAAAUUACCCAAUCCCGACUCGGGGAGGUAGUGACAAUAAAUACUGAUACAGGGCCCUUUCGGGCCUUGUAAUUGGAAUGAGUACAAUUUAAAUCCCUUAACGAGGAACAAUUGGAGGGCAAGUCUGGUGCCAGCAGCCGCGGUAAUUCCAGCUCCAAUAGCGUAUAUUAAAGUUGUUGUGGUUAAAAAGCUCGUAGUUGAACCUUGGGCCUGGCUGGCCGGUCCGCCUCACCGCGUGCACUGGUCCGGCCGGGCCUUUCCCUCUGUGGAACCCCAUACCCUUCACUGGGCGUGGCGGGGAAGCAGGACAUUUACUUU
rnacentral:rRNA from 1 species